AGUGAACGCUGGCGGUAGGCCUAACACAUGCAAGUCGAACGGCAGCACAGUAAGAGCUUGCUCUUACGGGUGGCGAGUGGCGGACGGGUGAGGAAUACAUCGGAAUCUACUUUUUCGUGGGGGAUAACGUAGGGAAACUUACGCUAAUACCGCAUACGACCUACGGGUGAAAGCAUGGGAUCUUCGGACCUUGCGCGAUUGAAUGAGCCGAUGUCGGAUUAGCUAGUUGGCGGGGUAAAGGCCCACCAAGGCGACGAUCCGUAGCUGGUCUGAGAGGAUGAUCAGCCACACUGGAACUGAGACACGGUCCAGACUCCUACGGGAGGCAGCAGUGGGGAAUAUUGGACAAUGGGCGCAAGCCUGAUCCAGCCAUACCGCGUGGGUGAAGAAGGACUUCGGGUUGUAAAGCCCUUUUGUUGGGAAAGAAAAGCAGCAGGUUAAUACCCCGCUGUUCUGACGGUACCCAAAGAAUAAGCACCGGCUAACUUCGUG
rnacentral:rRNA from 1 species